rnacentral:ncRNA from 1 species
CUUCCUAUUUGACCCGAAACCGAUCGAUCUAGCCAUGAGCAGGUUGAAGAGAGCUCUAACAGGCCUUGGAGGACCGAACCCACGUAUGUGGCAAAAUACGGGGAUGACUUGUGGCUAGGGGCGAAAGGCCAACCAAGAUCGGAUAUAGCUGGUUUUCCGCGAAAUCUAUUUCAGUAGAGCGUAUGAUGUCGAUGGCCCGAGGUAGAGCACUCAAUGGGCUAGGGUGGCCCCCAUUUCGCUUUACCAACCCCAGGGAAACUCCGAAUACAGGCCGUCAUCCUUAGUACAGA